GAUGAACGCUGGCGGCGUGCCUAAUACAUGCAAGUCGAGCGAACAGACGAGGAGCUUGCUCCUCUGACGUUAGCGGCGGACGGGUGAGUAACACGUGGAUAACCUACCUAUAAGACUGGGAUAACUUCGGGAAACCGGAGCUAAUACCGGAUAAUAUAUUGAACCGCAUGGUUCAAUAGUGAAAGACGGUUUUGCUGUCACUUAUAGAUGGAUCCGCGCCGCAUUAGCUAGUUGGUAAGGUAACGGCUUACCAAGGCGACGAUGCGUAGCCGACCUGAGAGGGUGAUCGGCCACACUGGAGCUGGGACACGGUCCAGACUCCUACGGGAGGCAGCAGUAGGGAAUCUUCCGCAAUGGGCGAAAGCCUGACGGAGCAACGCCGCGUGAGUGAUGAAGGUCUUCGGAUCGUAAAACUCUGUUAUUAGGGAAGAACAAAUGUGUAAGUAACUAUGCACGUCUUGACGGUACCUAAUCAGAAAGCCACGGCUAACUACGUG
rnacentral:rRNA from 1 species